UUUACCAAGGGCAAAUUUUAUAAUAUUACCCGCACCAAAUUAUUUUCAUGUUCCCGGCUUCAAAAUCAAAACCGGUGGUUCUGCGCGCGAUUACUGCGGCAGCCCCAGAGCGAUUUUAGAGUUAACUACCAACCGGAUUUUUCACCUUCCUGGCUUCCAUUGACGCUGAUCUGAUUGAUCAACGAAUCCGUUACUUUGCUUCACUUUGUUAUUGGAGGAUCAUACUGGAGCCACAUCCAAUGGUAUAGAUUCUGCUGGUCCAUGAAAACAGGCGUCAUCAUCUUUUCUUGAAACUUAAGCAGCAAGUCUUCUAAGAUGGUCAUAUGACUGCUUGCCAAAUUCAGAAACUCUCAAUAUCAGUCUUCUAGAGCUUGAAAAUGAUAGAUUACGUAUAAGAAUAAUUAUUAAUUGUAAUAGCAAUAGAGCAACAUCAGUACUAAUCAUGCAUGCCAGUUGAGAUCAGACUGAUAUAUCUAGUCACUGCGUGCAAACCUAUCCUUCGACUAUGACAUGUACAUGUUGCUUCUAAAAGGUUUUUCACGGGCUCUAUGCAGAAAUUACUUUA